AACGAACGCUGGCGGCAGGCUUAACACAUGCAAGUCGAACGCCCCGCAAGGGGAGUGGCAGACGGGUGAGUAACACGUGGGAACAUGCCCAAAGGUACGGAAUAUUCUCGGGAAACUGGGAGCAAUACCGUAUGUGCCCGAAAGGGGAAAGAUUUAUCGCCUUUGGAUUGGCCCGCGUUGGAUUAGCUAGUUGGUGGGGUAAAAGCCUACCAAGGCGACGAUCCAUAGCUGGUCUGAGAGGACGACUAGCCACACUGGGACUGAGACACGGCCCAGACUCCUACGGGAGGCAGCAGUGGGGAAUCUUGGACAAUGGGCGCAAGCCUGAUCCAGCCAUGCCGCGUGAGUGAUGAAGGCCCUAGGGUUGUAAAACUCUUUCGUGGGGGACGAUAAUGACGGUACCCCAAGAAGAAGCUCCGGCUAACUUCGUGCCAGCAGCCGCAGUAAAAC
rnacentral:rRNA from 1 species